rnacentral:rRNA from 1 species
CCUACGGGAGGCUGCAGUGGGGGAUAUUGCACAAUGGGGGGAACCCUGAUGCAGCGACGCCGCGUGGGUGAAGGAGUGCUUCGGCAUGUAAAGCCCUAUCGGCAGGGAAGAAGCAAGACGGUACCUGACUAAGAAGCCCCGGCUAACUACGUGCCAGCAGCCGCGGUAAUACGUAGGGGGCGAGCGUUAUCCGGAUUCACUGGGUGUAAAGGGAGCGUAGACGGCCAUGCAAGCCAGGGGUGAAAGCCCGGGGCCCAACCCCGGGACUGCCCUUGGAACUGCAUGGCUGGAGUGUGUGAGAGGAUAGUGGAAUUCCAGGUGUAGGAGUGAAAUCCGUAGAUAUCUGGAGGAACAUCAGUGGCGAAGGCGACUAUCUGGCACAUAACUGACGCUGAGGAGCGAAAGCGUGGGUAGCAAACAGGAUUAGAUACCCUAGUAGUC